AAGGACACAGUUAUGCCAGACAACUAUGCAGUGGCUCAACAACGUACAACGUAGGAAAAUCUCAGCCCUAGCUCUCGCUGUUGUGCGUUCACGCACCGUGAAGCCAUGUCCCAAUACCAGUUUAAAGGUAGCUUAAGGGGUAAGGGGGAGGGCUAACAUCCCCUCAAAAUUGAGAUUUUCGAUGGGCACACUCAAAGCGCUUCAGUUCUGACUUGCUCCCACAAUACUUUGCGAGAAAACGGAAAAUCAAGAAAUAUCCUAGACAAGAUGGAGGGCGAAAAGAUGCGACAGGAUUGGAAAAACACAAAUGACAUCGUUGAGUCCACUGCCACCAGCCCCCCCCACCUCUCCCUCAUGCUCCUCCACCCCAGGCACCUCUUCCACCACCCCAGACACCCCUUCCAAGAGGAGAGUGCCAGGGAGCAGGCGAGGCAUGAGGAGAGGGAGGCAAAGUUGGCGGAAUGGUGGAGAAGAUGUGAUUCUCCACCAUUCUCUCAAAAGCUGAGAGAGAGUGUGUGUGUGUGUGUGUGUGUAUUUUUAGGUGUGCGUGUGUGUGUAUUUUUAGAUGCGUGUGUGUGUAUUUUUAGAUGUGUGGUUCAGUGUUUCUUAUUUAAAUAAAGUGUUUCUUCUAAAGUGUUCUUGUUCUUAACCGAUUAUUAUCUAAGGGUGCACUCACACUAGGCCAUCUGGCCGUGGCCGUGGCCGUUUUAGCACCUAACCGUGCUCAAAUCUGCCAGUGUGAGUGUGGCCAGUCUGGCCAGGCCGGGCCAAUUUGGCCACUUGGGAGAAGUGUGCUGCUACGGCACGGGCCGCUACGGUACAGAUGCUAAUGAGCCGACACACGUACGGCUACGCAACCUGAGCUGGAUGACGUAUAGUCAAUGCGACGACCACGGACAUAAUAAAGGCGACGAGCCUUCUUUCCCAUUAAACGGUAAACAUCGCGUCAAGCGGUUCAACUGUUGGUGUGUUCUCUGUGUUGUUAUCCAUUGUUGUUAAAACUCUGACUAGCGGCAGACUUUAUUAUGGUCCAUGCAGCGGACGCUUGGUGAUAACGGGUUACGACGUGAUGACGUAUGUACAAGAGCCUUCCGUGGCCAGGCCACAGCUGCGACGGCCAACGGCCACGGCCAGAUGGCCUAGUGUGAGUGCAGGCCAGAGAACAAUGGGGCCAUUUGAAC
rnacentral:lncRNA from 1 species